rnacentral:rRNA from 1 species
GAUGAACGCUGGCGGCGUGCCUAACACAUGCAAGUCGAGCGAUCUUCUUCGGAAGAGAGCGGCGGACGGGUGAGUAACGCGUGGGUAACCUGCCCUGUACACACGGAUAACAUACCGAAAGGUAUGCUAAUACGAGAUAAUAUGCUUUUAUCGCAUGGUAGAAGUAUCAAAGCUCCGGCGGUACAGGAUGGACCCGCGUCUGAUUAGCUAGUUGGUAAGGUAACGGCUUACCAAGGCGACGAUCAGUAGCCGACCUGAGAGGGUGAUCGGCCACAUUGGAACUGAGACACGGUCCAAACUCCUACGGGAGGCAGCAGUGGGGAAUAUUGCACAAUGGGCGAAAGCCUGAUGCAGCAACGCCGCGUGAGCGAUGAGGGCCUUCGGGUCGUAAAGCUCUGUCCUCAUGGAAGAUAAUGACGGUACUUGAGGAGGAAGCCCCGGCUAACUACGUGCCAGCAGCCGCCGCAG